rnacentral:rRNA from 1 species
GAUGAACGCUGGCGGCGUGCCUAAUACAUGCAAGUCGAACGAAACUUCUUUAUCUCCGCGUGCUUGCCGUCACCGAUAAAGAGUUGAGUGGCGAACGGGUGAGUAACACGUGGGCAACCUGCCCAAAAGAGGGGGGUCACACUUGGAAAAAGGUGAUAAUACCGCAUAACCAUAGUUACCGCAUGGUAACUGUGAAAAAGGUGGCUCUUCUACCGCUUUUGGAUGGGUAAGGGGCGCAUUAGCUGGUUGGUAGGGUAAAGGCUUACAAAGGCAAGGAUGAGUAGCCGAAUUGAGAGGUUGAUCGGCCACAUUGGGACUGAGACACGGCCAAAACGCCUACGGGAGGCAGCAGAAGGGAAUCGUCGACAGUGGGCGAAAGUCUGAUAGAGCGAGGCCGAGUGGGUGAAGAAGGUCUUCGGAUCGUAAAGCCCUGUUGUUAGUGAAGAAAGUGCGUCAGUGGAAAUGUUCACGUAUCGACGGUACCUAACCAGAAAGCCACGGCUAACUACGUG